ACAUGCCUACAACAUAGAAUUAAUGUAGUGGAUCCCAUUAGAACUUUGCAGUUAAGCGUGUACAUGCUAGAGUAGUACUAGGAUGGGUGACAUCCUGGGAAGUCCUAGUGUUUUACAUGCC
rnacentral:rRNA from 1 species